rnacentral:tRNA from 1 species
AGCUUCGAAGUAUUAAUACGUUAGAUUGCAAAUCUAGAAAUGCAGGUUAGUUGCCGGCCGGGGCUU